CAACAAAUAACUAAACAACAAAACAUCAAAAUGAAACUCUUGUUUGUCUUGAUGGUUGUAUUUUUCUACGCUGUUGCUGCAGCUCCGCAAUUUGGAUUCUCUGGAUCUCAGGCCAAUGCUGGUGCAUCUGCUGGUUCAUUUGGAGGCGGUUUGGGUGGACUCGGUGGUUCUGGAUCGUUCGCCAAUGCUCAAUCCAGUGCCGGAUCGGGAACCCUAUUUGGAAAAUGAAUUAUUCACUGAAGCCGACUUUGAUUUUGUUAAUUCUAAAAUAAAC